rnacentral:misc_RNA from 1 species
GAGAGAGAGAGGAGGAGGAGGAGGGGAGAAUGAAAUGCAGUUUUAAGGGGGAAAAGAGAAAUGCCCACUGGCUGACUGAUCAAAAGAUUCAAAAUAAUAGCAACACUGGCAAGAUUCAAUUCCACAUCAAUCAGAAAUAAAAGGUUAAGGCUUCUCCCAAUAUGAAAAAUGGCCAAAACAAGACGUCAGAUAAUUCAAACUUCAAAUCCCAGACCAUCCAUCAAGAAAGUAGGGCACUUAUCUGUUGACAUAAAAACAAGAUGUCUCCUGUGCUGUAUGGACAGGCUGACACAUAAAGGACCUCCAAUGAGGGGCACGGAUGCCAAUUAAAUGCUCAGUCUAAGAAAAUUCUUGUCAUGCCAUGCAAAUUCAAUUCACAAACUAUAAGUUUUGAAUUCGCAAACUUGCAGCAAUUUCACUCCUGAAGUAAGUAAUUAAUGGAUUUGAAGGGCAGUGGGAGGAUGGGGUACAUGAAUUAUGUAUCAAAGGUUGUAGUAUUGAAAAAGAUAAAUUCCCAGAUAGUUGCCCAAACUGGCAUGUAACAUGUAACAUUAGAGAAUGUACACCAUAUUCCUUUGAUGAUGAAUUUGAAUCAAAGUAAGGAUGAGUUCCUAGUUUUAUUCAUAAAGGUUAUGGUAAACAGCAAGAUCAUUUUCAACCGUACAAUCAUACCAAGGAGUAAAAGGAUACACAUGGAAAAUGGGAAAUCAAAAAAUAUAAUUCAAACUGGAAUGUUAAGAUCUGCUAAUCAGAACAGCUUAUAGCAUAUAGACUAUACAACUCAC